CAAUUCUUUCAAAACAUAUGACCCUGCUGAUUAGACACAUUUCUCCCAAUGUUAUUUGUUAGUAGAUGGCGUUGCAGAUCAGUGGUAUAGCAGGAGGAGUACUGAGUCUGAGGAUUCACCAACAUAGUAAAAAUGGUGUAGCAAGACCAUCACUCUCCUUCAGUACCAGACCAAAAGGUCCAGCUCCACCACCCAUGUCGUUCGAUUUCGAAAUGCGCACACACUUGUCAUGGCGACACCAUCCGGUUCCAAUCCUAAUACCACUAGGACUUCUGGAGGAGAGGAGAAAGUGAAGAAGCAGCAGCCAAUAUCAAAGACGACUGGUGUGGGUGGUGAGGGGCCUCCAUUGGCCACAAUAAUAGCAGGGUUUGUGGUGUUCUUUGGAAUUUGUUGGGUUUUAUUUACUGUAGUUGGUUGUUCAAUCUUAUUGUUACACCACCUCCUCUUAAAUAGAAUCCCCUCUCUUUUUCGUUCUACAUGAUGUGUAAUGAACCAGAGCUUUUAUUGCCAAGUUCUGUGAGAGAUCUUCUGAUUCCCUUGUGGUAUUCUUUCUAACUCGAUAUGCCCUGUGAAUCAAACAAUGAACUGACUGGGAAAAAACCAGCACACCAGCAACCAUGGACACCUGUACUGAGUUAACAGUCUUACUUGACAUGACAAAGAAAAAGAAAGGGCUGACAAUAGCUGUUAGCCUAUUAUUGAUGUAAUGAUGCUUAGGCCAUAUGAAUUUAAAUGUUUUUUCUCUUUACUGUUGUAAUUGUAAGAGUUUUCUUUUCACUAAGGAGAGGUGAUUGCAGGUACUGAUUACUGAAUCUCGUGGAUUGCAGAUGUAGAUACAGGGUCAAAUGUGG
rnacentral:lncRNA from 1 species